UGCCAGCCGCCGCGGUAAUACGGAGGGGGCAAGCGUUGUUCGGAAUUAUUGGGCGUAAAGGGCGCGUAGGCGGCUUGGCAAGUCAGUUGUGAAAUCCCUCGGCUCAACCGAGGAACUGCGACUGAAACUGCCAGGCUUGAGUCCCGGAGAGGGUAGCGGAAUUCCCAGUGUAGCGGUGAAAUGCGUAGAUACUGGGAGGAACACCUGUGGCGAAGGCGGCCACCUGGACCGGUUCUGACGCUGAGGCGCGAAAGCGUGGGGAGCAAACAGGAUUAGAUA
rnacentral:rRNA from 1 species